AGAGUUUGAUCCUGGCUCAGGACGAACGCUGGCGGCGUGCUUAACACAUGCAAGUCGAACGGAAAGGCCCUUCGGGGUACUCGAGUGGCGAACGGGUGAGUAACACGUGGGUGAUCUGCCCUGCACUUUGGGAUAAGCCUGGGAAACUGGGUCUAAUACCGAAUAGGACCACGCGCUUCAUGGUGUGUGGUGGAAAGCUUUUGCGGUGUGGGAUGGGCCCGCGGCCUAUCAGCUUGUUGGUGGGGUAAUGGCCUACCAAGGCGACGACGGGUAGCCGGCCUGAGAGGGUGACCGGCCACACUGGGACUGAGAUACGGCCCAGACUCCUACGGGAGGCAGCAGUGGGGAAUAUUGCACAAUGGGCGCAAGCCUGAUGCAGCGACGCCGCGUGAGGGAUGACGGCCUUCGGGUUGUAAACCUCUUUCAAUAGGGACGAAGCGUGAGUGACGGUACCUAUAGAAGAAGCACCGGCCAACUACGUGCCAGCAGCCGCGGUAAUACGUAGGGUGCGAGCGUUGUCCGGAAUUACUGGGCGUAAAGAGCUCGUAGGUGGUUUGUCGCGUUGUUCGUGAAAACUCACAGCUUAACUGUGGGCGUGCGGGCGAUACGGGCAGACUAGAGUACUGCAGGGGAGACUGGAAUUCCUGGUGUAGCGGUGGAAUGCGCAGAUAUCAGGAGGAACGCCGGUGGCGAAGGCGGGUCUCUGGGCAGUAACUGACGCUGAGGAGCGAAAGCGUGGGGAGCGAACAGGAUUAGAUACCCUGGUAGUCC
rnacentral:rRNA from 1 species